CCCCCCCCCCCCCCCCUCCCUUUUCCUUUCUUUCUUUUUUUUUUUUUUUACAGACUUAGGAUGGCUUGUCUUGUUAGUUACUUUUCUUCCUGCCAGCCCCCAUCCUCAAGUUCUCCAAUGCAACUUCAGAGGAUCAUCUUUGAUACCUCUGCAUCUGAAUAAUAUGGUUUCUGUCCCAUGCUGUAGCUGACGGUAGGAUGGACUCUGAGUGCAACUGAGAGGUUGCUUCCUCCAUAGUUUCCUAUUGCAUCUCAUACUGGUUAGGGUAAGCAAUUACAGAGGAAAUUUGACUUCUCCAUGGAGUAGUGUGUGCCUGACAGCUAGCUGGAGACAGCACACACGGAAUUGAGUCAGUGCUCCGAGUGCGGUCUUGAGUUGCAGUAAAGGUAAAACAACUGCAGACUGAUAGUUUAGCUUCUAAGGAGCAUAUACAGAUAGCAUGUUUGCCUCUAAUACUUAAAAGGCGAGGUUCUGAGAUCAUAUUUCAUGGACUGCUUCCUAUAGAUUUCAAGAAAUCCAAUCGUUCUGAAGUAUAGCCGUGCGCUAUUAUUAUUUAAAGGGAACAAACUGUUUUGAAACCCAUUACGUGGGAAGGAACCGAGGGCGGAAGUGACGUCAAGGCGUGCCUUCACUGAGGACCAAAACGGCUCCAUGAUUGGCUGGACCGUGAGGGCAGAUGUAGCGUCACGGCUAGCCUUCACUGAGGGCGGAAACACUCCGUGACUGGCUCGGAGGAACCCAGGGCGGAAGUGCCUUGCAGGGCUUGCCGGCACUAUGGGCGGAAGCUGUCGGGCCGGGCCGGGCUCGGCUCGGGCCAGGCCGCCGAGGCGCGGUGCUGCAACGAGGGCAGAAGCAGCUCCCCGCCGCAAGGACCCCUGUGGGGUUUGUUGCCGAGCGAAGGUGGCGCAUUGGCUAAACGGAGGAAAGCUGCAGCUGGCGUGCUGCAGUCGCAGGUUUCCCAGGAGAAAGAGCAGCCCGUCUGUCCAGGCCCCCGGACACAACCGAGGACCCACCCCGGUGACGCCCAGCGUGCUCCCGUGUGCCCUGAGCACCCACCACGGAGAACCCCGGCCUGCCCCCGAGCAGCCCAUAGGAACCACCCCGGUGACCCCCGGCCCUGCAUGUCCCCAGGAUCGUCGUUCACCCCGGAUGACCCUCCCCGCUGACCCCUAUGGGCCACCCAAGUCUCCGGUGGACACAUGCCGUUGACCCCUCCGGCCUCCCUGGUACCCAGAGGACCCACCCCGGUCACAUCCCCGGGGGCCCGCUAGGACUCAAACCAGUGAGCACCCCUGGGUCCCCGGGGGCCCCCGAGUACCCACCCUGGUGAUCACCCCCGGGCCCCCCAGGCGCCCCGGAGGACCCGCCCGGGUGACACUCCAGUGUCCCUCGAAGGCUGCGGAGGACAAACUCCGGUGAUCCCCCUGGGACCUCGAGGUCCCCGGAGAAGCCACCCUGGUGUCCUCCACAGAUACCAGAGGUCCCCGGAGGAACCAACUCUGGUGAACCCCUAGGUCCCCCCAGGUCCCCAGACCACCAACCCCUGUGACAACCCAGAGUCCCUCGGAAGCCCCAGAGGACCUAUCCCUGUGAUCCCCCCCACCCGGGCCGCCCAGGGCACCGGAGGAGCAAAGCAGGUGAGCCCCACGGGAUGCCAAACUCCCCGGAGGACCCAAAAUUGUGUCCUCCCUUGGUCCCCUUGGUCCCGGAGGAUCCACCACGGUGACAACCCCGAUUCCUUGGGCGCACGGUAAGACUAAUCCCGGUGACACCUCCGGGCCCCCCAGGUCCCCUGAAGUGCCACACCGGUGAAAGCCGGAUUGCCUGCGGGCGCCUUGG
rnacentral:lncRNA from 1 species